UAUAAGGUUUAUAUGGACAGUCAAGUCCAAUAAUAACAUUCUUAUGACAUACAAAUGGUGUAUAUGAAGACAUAGACCGGAAAUGUAAGGAAAGCCGGCUUUGACGCACAGCAGUCCUCAUACCGAGUUUCCUCGAGAGAUAUCCAGGUCUACAAAAGGUGCACAGGUGGUAAAGAAGAUUGGUGUUAGGCGUGCACAUGCCCCGAAGAGCCAGCAACAACCCAACCAAGCUUAUUCAAUAAUGAUCCUUCCGCAGGUUCACCUACGGAAA
rnacentral:misc_RNA from 1 species